rnacentral:rRNA from 1 species
GUUUGAUCCUGGCUCAGGAUGAACGCUAGCGGCAGGCUUAAUACAUGCAAGUCAAGGGGUAGCAAUACACCGGCGGACGGGUGCGUAACGCGUACACAACAUGCCCUUUAGCGGGGGAUAGCAUCGGGAAACUGAUGGUAAAACCCCAUGGUGUUGAAUGGUGGCAUCAUUAUUCAACUAAAGGCUACACUAAAGGAUUGGUGUGCGUAUGAUUAGCUAGUUGGUAGGGUAACGGCCUACCAAGGCGAUGAUCAUUAGGGGGUGUGAGAGCAUGACCCCCCACACGGGUACUGAGACACGGACCCGACUCCUACGGGAGGCAGCAGUAAGGAAUAUUGGACAAUGGAGGCAACUCUGAUCCAGCCAUGCCGCGUGAAGGACGAAGGCGCUCUGCGUUGUAAACUUCUUUUGUACAGGAACAAAACCCGGGGUGCGCCCCGGACUGAGGGUACUGUAAGAAUAAGCACCGGCUAACUCCGUGCCAGCAGCCGCGGUAAUACGGAGGGUGCAAGCGUUAUCCGGAAUCACUGGGUUUAAAGGGUGCGUAGGCGGUUUUUUAAGUCAGUUGUGAAAUUCCCCCGCUUAACGGGAGGGACUGCGAUUGAUACUGAAGAACUUGAAUCAGGUUGAGGUAGGCGGAAUGUGACAUGUAGCGGUGAAAUGCAUAGAUAUGUCAUAGAACACCGAUUGCGAAGGCAGCUUGCUGGACCUGUAUUGACGCUGAGGCACGAAAGCGUGGGGAGCAAACAG